AAGCUGUCAAGUCCAAGAUUAAGGUGCCAGAAGAUUGACGUCUGGCCCCACCUCUGAGUACCAACACAUUUGGAUUAGGACUUCAAUGUAUGAAUGUGAGGAGGACACAAACAUUCAGAUUGCAGCAGAGACAAAGAUGUGAAAGCAAGCAUGAAAGAGUGCAAACCAGUGGUAUUGGAGCUCAGGGUACAUGAGGUGCUUCAAAAUAUUUUACUACUACUCUGUUGACUACAAAAAAAGAGCUAAAUACUUUUCUGUUGGGACAUCUUCAAGAAAUGUUCACACUUUGCAGAGAGGGGAACAAAGAGAUGAAUUGCCAGAAAUUCUGUCAAACAUGGGACACUCUAUAAAAACAGUAGAUUUCAGAGAAAUUUAAAGAAAUGUGAUUGUGGGGAAAAA